rnacentral:rRNA from 1 species
GAUGAACGCUGGCGGCGUGCCUAAUACAUGCAAGUCGAGCGAACAGACGAGGAGCUUGCUCCUCUGACGUUAGCGGCGGACGGGUGAGUAACACGUGGAUAACCUACCUAUAAGACUGGGAUAACUUCGUGAAACCGGAGCUAAUACCGGAUAAUAUAUUGAACCGCAUGGUUCAAUAGUGAAAGACGGUUUUGCUGUCACUUAUAGAUGGAUCCGCGCCGCAUUAGCUAGUUGGUAAGGUAACGGCUUACCAAGGCAACGAUGCGUAGCCGACCUGAGAGGGUGAUCGGCCACACUGGAACUGAGACACGGUCCAGACUCCUACGGGAGGCAGCAGUAGGGAAUCUUCCGCAAUGGGCGAAAGCCUGACGGAGCAACGCCGCGUGAGUGAUGAAGGUCUUCGGAUCGUAAAACUCUGUUAUUAGGGAAGAAAAAAUGUGUAAGUAACUAUGCACGUCUUGACGGUACCUAAUCAGAAAGCCACGGCUAACUACGUG